rnacentral:rRNA from 1 species
GUGUGACUGCGUACCUUUUGUAUAAUGGGUCAGCGACUUAUAUUCUGUAGCAAGGUUAACCGAAUAGGGGAGCCGAAGGGAAACCGAGUCUUAACUGGGCGUUAAGUUGCAGGGUAUAGACCCGAAACCCGGUGAUCUAGCCAUGGGCAGGUUGAAGGUUGGGUAACACUAACUGGAGGACCGAACCGACUAAUGUUGAAAAAUUAGCGGAUGACUUGUGGCUGGGGGUGAAAGGCCAAUCAAACCGGGAGAUAGCUGGUUCUCCCCGAAAGCUAUUUAGGUAGCGCCUCGUGAAUUCAUCUCCGGGGGUAGAGCACUGUUUCGGCAAGGGGGUCAUCCCGACUUACCAACCCGAUGCAAACUGCGAAUACCGGAGAAUGUUAUCACGGGAGACACACGGCGGGUGCUAACGUCCGUCGUGAAGAGGGAAACAACCCAGACCGCCAGCUAAGGUCCCAAAGUCAUGGUUAAGUGGGAAACGAUGUGGGAAGGCCCAGACAGCCAGGAUGUUGGCUUAGAAGCAGCCAUCAUUUAAAGAAAGCGUAAUAGCUCACUGGUCGAGUCGGCCUGCGCGGAAGAUGUAACGGGGCUAAACCAUGCACCGAAGCUGCGGCAGCGACGCUUAUGCGUUGUUGGGUAGGGGAGCGUUCUGUAAGCCUGCGAAGGUGUGCUGUGAGGCAUGCUGGAGGUAUCAGAAGUGCGAAUGCUGACAUAAGUAACGAUAAAGCGGGUGAAAAGCCCGCUCGCCGGAAGACCAAGGGUUCCUGUCCAACGUUAAUCGGGGCAGGGUGAGUCGACCCCUAAGGCGAGGCCGAAAGGCGUAGUCGAUGGGAAACAGGUUAAUAUUCCUGUACUUGGUGUUACUGCGAAGGGGGGACGGAGAAGGCUAUGUUGGCCGGGCGACGGUUGUCCCGGUUUAAGCGUGUAGGCUGGUUUUCCAGGCAAAUCCGGAAAAUCAAGGCUGAGGCGUGAUGACGAGGCACUACGGUGCUGAAGCAACAAAUGCCCUGCUUCCAGGAAAAGCCUCUAAGCAUCAGGUAACAUCAAAUCGUACCCCAAACCGACACAGGUGGUCAGGUAGAGAAUACCAAGGCGCUUGAGAGAACUCGGGUGAAGGAACUAGGCAAAAUGGUGCCGUAACUUCGGGAGAAGGCACGCUGAUAUGUAGGUGAAGUCCCUCGCGGAUGGAGCUGAAAUCAGUCGAAGAUACCAGCUGGCUGCAACUGUUUAUUAAAAACACAGCACUGUGCAAACACGAAAGUGGACGUAUACGGUGUGACGCCUGCCCGGUGCCGGAAGGUUAAUUGAUGGGGUUAGCGCAAGCGAAGCUCUUGAUCGAAGCCCCGGUAAACGGCGGCCGUAACUAUAACGGUCCUAAGGUAGCGAAAUUCCUUGUCGGGUAAGUUCCGACCUGCACGAAUGGCGUAAUGAUGGCCAGGCUGUCUCCACCCGAGACUCAGUGAAAUUGAACUCGCUGUGAAGAUGCAGUGUACCCGCGGCAAGACGGAAAGACCCCGUGAACCUUUACUAUAGCUUGACACUGAACAUUGAGCCUUGAUGUGUAGGAUAGGUGGGAGGCUUUGAAGUGUGGACGCCAGUCUGCAUGGAGCCGACCUUGAAAUACCACCCUUUAAUGUUUGAUGUUCUAACGUUGACCCGUAAUCCGGGUUGCGGACAGUGUCUGGUGGGUAGUUUGACUGGGGCGGUCUCCUCCUAAAGAGUAACGGAGGAGCACGAAGGUUGGCUAAUCCUGGUCGGACAUCAGGAGGUUAGUGCAAUGGCAUAAGCCAGCUUGACUGCGAGCGUGACGGCGCGAGCAGGUGCGAAAGCAGGUCAUAGUGAUCCGGUGGUUCUGAAUGGAAGGGCCAUCGCUCAACGGAUAAAAGGUACUCCGGGGAUAACAGGCUGAUACCGCCCAAGAGUUCAUAUCGACGGCGGUGUUUGGCACCUCGAUGUCGGCUCAUCACAUCCUGGGGCUGAAGUAGGUCCCAAGGGUAUGGCUGUUCGCCAUUUAAAGUGGUACGCGAGCUGGGUUUAGAACGUCGUGAGACAGUUCGGUCCCUAUCUGCCGUGGGCGCUGGAGAACUGAGGGGGGCUGCUCCUAGUACGAGAGGACCGGAGUGGACGCAUCACUGGUGUUCGGGUUGUCAUGCCAAUGGCACUGCCCGGUAGCUAAAUGCGGAAGAGAUAAGUGCUGAAAGCAUCUAAGCACGAAACUUGCCCCGAGAUGAGUUCUCCCUGACUCCUUGAGAGUCCUGAAGGAACGUUGAAGACGACGACGUUGAUAGGCCGGGUGUGUAAGCGCAGCGAUGCGUUGAGCUAACCGGUACUAAUGAACCGUGAGGCUUAACC